GGCUGGCAUUUGGUCUCCUCUGAUCUCUGAAGGCCUCAGGGCAGCAGCGCUCUUGGCACAAGCCAAAAACAUGGAGCCCUUUGAAGAAGGCUGUGUGUGUCUGAGGACCUGGAUCCAAGAUCAUCCAUGAAGUGAUCUGGAGGUCUGGUUCUCUUUAGAGAAGUGCAGGAGAUAGCUAGUUCCUCUAGUUUGGUUGAGAACCAUCAUAUCUGUCCUUGCAUUGGCUAAAGAUUGUAGCUUCAAUUUCCAGUAUAAAAAUCUGCGAUGGUUCUCCGAGUCUUUAGGAACAUCUCUCUCGUAAUACAUGCUUGUGCCAAGCUGGUACAAUCCAAAUAAAGAAGCACUGUACUUUAAGCUUCGAUAUAUCCUUGUUGCUCGUUAUCUUUUUAUGAUCUUUGGGUUGCAUGUUC